rnacentral:rRNA from 1 species
UACGGAGGAUUCGAGCGUUAUCCGGAUUUAUUGGGUUUACAGGGUGCGCAGGCGGGCUGAUAAGGUACCGGUGAAAGGUUUACGAUUUACGUAGACAUUGCCAUUGAAACUGUCGAUCUUGAGUACAAAUGAGGUAGGCGGAAUGUGUUGUGUAGCGGUGAAAUGCAUAGAUAUGACACAGUACACCGAUUGCGAGGGCAGCUUACUGGGAUGUAAAUGACGCCCAGGCACGAAAGCGUGGGGAUCAAACACG